UUGUAUGCUAUGUGAUCAGUGAAAGACACAAAACCCCAGUGAAAAUACAGACUUUCGUGCGAAACACACUCAUUCAUCUAUAUUUUUACUUGUAUGCUAUGUGAUCAGUGAAAGACACAAAACCCCAGUAAAAAUACAGACUUUCUUGCGAAACACACUCAUUCAUCUAUAUUUUUACUUGUAUGGCUAUGUGAUCAGUGAAAGACACAAAAACACAUCAAGUAAAAGAUACGUUUUGCAAUGAAAACACGAUUAAAAUCAUUAAAUCUUUUCUAUCAAUUUUUCUCUUUCUGAGCACGACUUAGAAUUUACAGUCAGAACAAUUAGUUCAGUCUAGUUAUUUCCCUUUUAACAAAACUUUUGCAUAUCACUUCAUUCUUCUUUCAGCGUUCCAAGGAAUUUUCCAAGGAAAUUAAGCAGAUGAAAAAACUUUACACCACAUACUGCCACGGAGAUCGGAUUCUGAAAUGCAUGCUUUUUGCUUUCUCACACUCCAUAAAGAUCCGAAAAUCGAAGUGUAUUAUGCUUAAAAAAAAGAGGCUCGUUGGCACAUUGGCUAUCAGAGGACAGAGAAAAUCGACACGACGGCAGAAGUGAGGCAAGCCAGGAAAAGACCACACUCUUCUUUAGGUUCACAUAGUAGAGUUUAAAGGCAACGCAGUUUGUUGAUCAGUCCAACCACUGGCGCUCCUCAAAGAUUUGCGAUGAGUCUAGCCCCAGUCAACAGAUCAAUGAGAAGCUUACAUGCCAAAUCUACCUGUGCGCGAAGGUUGCUUGAAAAGAAAGGUAUUUAGGGAAUAAAAGGUGAAAUUAGAUUGAAUAGGAAUAGUAAUAUGUGAGUUUCUCUUGAUUAACAUUGAAACUAACACAAACCUUUACGACUAUGUAAGGAAUGAAUGAACCUUAUUCAACAGUUCCACUUGAUAAAGGUUAGCAAGUUAUUUAAUGUCAGAGGUGGAAUCAACUCGCGGAGGCGAGACUCAAAUGUUGCGUAUGAGAGAGCGCUUUUUUGUGAAAAUAAUGUUUUGACUCACAUAGACAAACCAAAAAGGAUCUCUGCGCAAUGAAGUGGGCUGAGCUUACUUGCCAAAACUUUCUUUACACCCUUUACAAAGAUAAACUUUUCGAACUAACCUUUUUCUCUUUUUCGCAGGAUUGCCGUAUCCUGUUAUCACAAUGCGAAAAAUGAGAAGUUUGUAAUUCCUGAAUUGGGUCGCAAAAAAUGUUACUUAUCGACAAUUUAAAGAUGCUAUCUCAAGCAUCAAGCAAGAAGAUUCAAAAUUUUAUUGCAAUUAUCCCUCCUGCAUGUUUUGUGAAUGAGGAAAAAUUCUUCACUGAAACUGAAAUUACGGUGACUACACACCUAUUACAAAAACACUGGGUGACUGGGCUGUUCAAAAUGCAAAAGAGGAAAUUCAUCCCUAUUGGAUCUUUUCAACCAUUAUUCAGAAAAAUUCUUGGAUAAAAGUAUUCAAUUUUAAAUUAACGAAAAUUCUCAAUAGAAAGCCAGGAUGAUUAUUGAUCAUCAUUACGAUUUUCGUGUUUUAAUACAACGAAAUAGUGUAAUUUUUCACACAUAUUCCAAAUACGCGAAAUUGAAUUGAAAAAAUGAAUUCGUUGACGUGUUGACGGUGAGUUGUCUGGAAAUUUCACAUGAAUGAAACACUUUUCACGUCAGGAUGGGCAAAGUUCAUUAAUUGUAGACGAUAAGAUAAACUAUUUUAAAUUCAAGCCAAAUUAGGUUUGAUAUUUUGUGAAUCCUAUGAAUAAAUAAAAGUCAAGUUGAUUAUGAUUUCAUUGAUCUGAUUUACGCGUCAAUGCUUUGUUCAUAAAUUAGUUAACUCGAUAUUUGAAAGAGUUUUUAUCGUCAAAUCAUCAUGAUUAUAUAAUAAUUUAUAUUUGGUAAAUAAAAAGUUUGAGUGAUGACUGUAAGUUGAUUCUUACAAUAAAUUUUAGCGGUUUAACAAUUCAAAGCCUUUCUUUUUCUGUUGAGAUUGGUGUUAAAAUUGGUAAAUACUAAUGUUGAUUAAAGGUUUUAUCAGAUAUUAAUUGUGCAGUUGACUUUUAAUUGAAAAACAUUGGAAUGAAAUAAAGCAUUAGAAAAGUUUUGGGUCGCAAUCCGUUUUUACUUGUUUACCUUGUCUCAAUUCAUUAACAUUAACCAUUUACUUGAAAUGCUAAUGGUUAAAAUGGUAAUUGAUUAUCAAAUCAAACAAAAAUAUGUGAGAUAAUCAUGAUAAGUAUAAAUAAUGAUUUACAAAGAUGAUGAGAUGGAUAAUAAUAAUAUAAUUAUGUUAUUUGUUGUUUUUUGCUUUCCAUCAGGACAAUUAUGGAAAUAAAACGGUAGGAUUUCCGAUAGGUGUUCAACUGAUUGUAAUUAAAUAAAAUCAUUAUCAUGAAAACGGAAAGUACUAUGAAUCUUGCCUGGAAAGAUAUUAAUGGUGAUGAUUAUGAUAUUAAUAGUUGUCAUCAGCAAAUUUAAAGGCGAGUGAUAUAAAAAUAAUGGUUGAUUCUUUUGCCAUCGCGUAAUAAUUUACUUGAAUUAAGAUGAUCCAACUAUUAAGGUUAUACCAUGAUUAUGUUUGUUGUCUUGAUGGCUGUAAAUUUUUCAAUCUUAGCUUUCCAUUUUCUUUUCAACAUUGGAAAUGAUUCAUCUGGAUAAAAUAAUAAUAAUAAUCAAUAAGCAGUCUGUAAGACAGCAAAAUAAGGAGUAGGAAAAGUAAUCAAAAAUUGACUAGGUAAAAAGAAGCAGCUAAGAGGGAAAAUAUAAGCAAUUGAAUCAGAAUUAUUCCAAGCGAUGAGAGAUCCAAUAGUCCUUAAUUCCUGUGAUUGUGGCUACUGGUUGUUUGUGAUUGUCUAGAUGCAAAUAAUAACCGUUGUUUACACAUCGAUUUGAUUAGAUAUGCAUCAAAGUCAUCAUAUGAAACAAGGAAAUUAAUGAAAUCCAUCAUCAUCAUCAUCAUCAUAAUCUAGUGAUUGUUACCCUAAUUCUUUGUAGUGUUCGUAUAUGAGUUGCAUGUGAUUCUUGAUCAAUCACAAUUCACGAUUAUCAUCAUCAGCAUUAUGUUGAAUCAACUGCAACCAAGCAACUAAGCUAAUGUUUACAAGGAAAUGUUUGGUGAACACAGAAAGGAAAAAAAUGCCAACAAAUAAAGGGCAUUAUCCUUUGAAUUAUCCACUGUAACUGUCAGAGUAGAUCAUUUUCCUUAAAUUUUCCCAAUUGAUACUUGAUUUAUAGAAAAGAGUUUAUUCAAAUUUCAGCGGAAUUACUUGUUGAUAUCUGAUGGUGGUAGCUUUGAUGUAAGGUGUUUCCUCUGUCUUCCUUUUACAUGUCUCUAUCUUUGUUCUUUCAAUUUAUCAUUUGUAUUUCUUUUCUUCAUCGCCCUGAGUAGAUCAUCAUGGUUUCAAACCAUUGCAAAUGCUUUUCAUCAGAUCUUCCUUUCGAUUGUAAUCGUAUUAAAGGCUGAAAAAUUUUCAUUAGAAACCAUAAAAUCAGGUUUGGCGUUUUUACUUUCCACACUUUGAUCAAUUCGUUUUUGUCCCAAUUGCCAUUGGUAAAACAUUUCCAAAAUUUUCAUUCAAC